UGGUGAAGUUAGUCUCCUAUUGACGAUAGAGUAAGGUAAAAUACAAACGAUUAGACUUUACCAACUAAAUCUAGUCAAAAGUGGUUUGGUUUGGCGCCAGAAAAGCCGCAGCUUCUCGUGCGAGGAUAGACUAUCGUCCUACUACCUGCCGAGUUCGUUGCCUCUGAAAAUGUUAAUCAUUAGGGCUCCUGUCUGUCCCAUUAUCAUGACACCGUCCUUUCACCAGCAGUAGUAAUCUCUCUACCCCCUCCUGC
rnacentral:lncRNA from 1 species